rnacentral:misc_RNA from 2 species
AAAUUCUCAAAGCAAGUCUUUUGUUAAUUCAAUCGGCUCUGCUUUGGACUUGGGGGUCUGCAGAUUCACGUCUGCUCCUCUUAAAUGUAUUAGCUGGAUCUCCAUGAACUUGGUUCCACUCGGCGUGAUAAGUAUCACUCGCUGAGGACACCUGUAAAAAGGUGGCCAGGCUUGAGGAUGAGCCGCUUCUAAUAGUCCAUUGACUUGGACAAAUUAAAUUUAUG